GAUGAACGCUGGCGGCGUGCCUAAUACAUGCAAGUCGAGCGAACAGACGAGGAGCUUGCUCCUCUGACGUUAUCGGCGGACGGGUGAUUAACACGUGGAUAACCUACCUAUAAGACUGGGAUAACUUCGGGAAACCGGAGCUAAUACCGGAUAAUAUAUUGAACCGCAUGGUUCAAUAGUGAAAGACGGUUUUGCUGUCACUUAUAGAUGGAUCCGCGCCGCAUUAGCUAGUUGGUAAGGUAACGGCUUACCAAGGCAACGAUGCGUAGCCGACCUGAGAGGGUGAUCGGCCACACUGGAACUGAGACACGGUCCAGACUCCUACGGGAGGCAGCAGUAGGGAAUCUUCCGCAAUGGGCGAAAGCGUGACGGAGCAACGCCGCGUGAGUGAUGAAGGUCUUCGGAUCGUAAAACGCUGUUAUUAGGGAAGAACAAAUGUGUAAGUAACUAUGCACGUCUUGACGGUACCUAAUCAGAAAGCCACGGCUAACUACGUG
rnacentral:rRNA from 1 species